GACGAACGCUGGCGGCGUGCCUAAUACAUGCAAGUUGAGCGCUGAAGGUUGGUACUUGUACCAACUGGAUGAGCAGCGAACGGGUGAGUAAUGCGUGGGGAAUCUGCCUUUGAGCGGGGGACAACAUUUGGAAACGAAUGCUAAUACCGCAUAAAAACUUUAAACACAAGUUUUAAGUUUGAAAGAUGCAAUUGCAUCACUCAAAGAUGAUCCCGCGUUGUAUUAGCUAGUUGGUGAGGUAAAGGCUCACCAAGGCGAUGAUACAUAGCCGACCUGAGAGGGUGAUCGGCCACAUUGGGACUGAGACACGGCCCAAACUCCUACGGGAGGCAGCAGUAGGGAAUCUUCGGCAAUGGACGAAAGUCUGACCGAGCAACGCCGCGGGAGUGAAGAAGGUUGUCGGAUCGUAAAACUCUGUUGGUAGAGAAGAACGUUGGUGAGAGUGGAAAGCUCAUCAAGUGACGGUAACUACCCAGAAAGGGACGGCUAACUACGUG
rnacentral:rRNA from 1 species